UUUGAUCCUGGCUCAGGACGAACGCUGGCGGCGUGCCUAAUACAUGCAAGUCGAGCGGACUUAAAAAGCUUGCUUUUUAAGUUAGCGGCGGACGGGUGAGUAACACGUGGGCAACCUGCCUGUAAGACUGGGAUAACUUCGGGAAACCGGAGCUAAUACCGGAUAAUCCUUUUCUACUCAUGUAGAAAAGCUGAAAGACGGUUUACGCUGUCACUUACAGAUGGGCCCGCGGCGCAUUAGCUAGUUGGUGAGGUAACGGCUCACCAAGGCGACGAUGCGUAGCCGACCUGAGAGGGUGAUCGGCCACACUGGGACUGAGACACGGCCCAGACUCCUACGGGAGGCAGCAGUAGGGAAUCUUCCGCAAUGGACGAAAGUCUGACGGAGCAACGCCGCGUGAGUGAUGAAGGUUUUCGGAUCGUAAAACUCUGUUGUUAGGGAAGAACAAGUACGAGAGUAACUGCUCGUACCUUGACGGUACCUAACCAGAAAGCCACGGCUAACUACGUGCCAGCAGCCGCGGUAAUACGUAGGUGGCAAGCGUUGUCCGGAAUUAUUGGGCGUAAAGCGCGCGCAGGCGGUCCUUUAAGUCUGAUGUGAAAGCCCACGGCUCAACCGUGGAGGGUCAUUGGAAACUGGGGGACUUGAGUGCAGAAGAGAAGAGUGGAAUUCCACGUGUAGCGGUGAAAUGCGUAGAGAUGUGGAGGAACACCAGUGGCGAAGGCGACUNNUNNGUCUGUAA
rnacentral:rRNA from 2 species